UUGGCAGCAAGUGCAUCCAAGAUUCCUCCUUUCCCUUGCUUGCGGCAGAUUGGGUUGUGGACAGGUUUUGGGUAGUUUUAUGGUGUAGAAUGGAUGGGGAAUGGUAUGGAAAGGUUUAGGGUGAGUGUGGAGGAGUGUUUGAUGGUUGGAGGGUGGUGGAAAACUCGGCAAAAAGGGUGGAAUGGCUGUUAUGUUUUCUGGGCACUAGAAUGGUGUUUUUAGGGUGUUUGCUGCCUAGGGUGAGAAUUGACGAAUU
rnacentral:lncRNA from 1 species